UUGUUGUUUUAAGGUUGAUGCCGUGCUUUAAGAGGCUAACACAGAGGGGAAAAGUAAAUCUCCAUAAAACCUAGAGAAGAGUUUUUUUUUUUUUUUUUUAUUGUUGGGGAUUCAUUG